rnacentral:rRNA from 1 species
AACGAACGCUGGCGGCAGGCCUAACACAUGCAAGUCGAGCGAGGACUUCGGUUCUAGCGGCGGACGGGUGAGUAACGCGUGGGAAUGUGCCCUUCUCUACGGAAUAGCCCUGGGAAACUGGGAGUAAUACCGUAUACGCCCUAUUGGGGAAAGAUUUAUCGGAGAAGGAUCAGCCUGCGUUGGAUUAGGUAGUUGGUGGGGUAAUGGCCUACCAAGCCGACGAUCCAUAGCUGGUUUGAGAGGAUGAUCAGCCACACUGGGACUGAGACACGGCCCAGACUCCUACGGGAGGCAGCAGUGGGGAAUCUUAGACAAUGGGGGCAACCCUGAUCUAGCCAUGCCGCGUGAGUGAUGAAGGCCUUAGGGUUGUAAAGCUCUUUCAGCUGGGAAGAUAAUGACGGUACCAGCAGAAGAAGCCCCGGCUAACUCCGUG